rnacentral:rRNA from 1 species
GUAUCCUGGUUCAGGAUGAACGCUGGCGGCGUGCUUAACACAUGCAAGUCGAACGAAGCACUUCAUAAAGUUUACUUUAAGAAGUGACUUAGUGGCGGACGGGUGAGUAACGCGUGGGUAACCUGCCUUACACAGGGGGAUAACAGUUAGAAAUGGACUGCUAAUACCGCAUAAAACAGCAGAGUCGCAUGACUCAACUGUCAAAGAUUUAUCGGUGUAAGAUGGACCCGNGUCUGAUUAGCUGGUUGG